GUGAGCGUGUGCGCGGGAAAUUGGUCAUUUUUUCCCGAAAGCAGUGCUCGAGGCAAGUGAACGACAGAAGAAAACACGAGCGUGUGUGUUUUUAAGUGGGUGGGUGGAUGAGCUGAAGUGAAAACAGAAACCGACUCAAAAAAAUAACCGAAUACCUAUAUUAUUAUACGUUGCGUACCACGGAUUAAAGAACGCAGUCUGGAUGUAUAUCAAAAUAUAUACAGCAAUACAAUACUUUUGGUGCUCGGGGCGAUAACGAUAGCGUACACGCGACAGUGUCGAAUUGCCUUGGUAAUUCUUAUCUGACAAACAAAAAUCCUGAAAGUGUGAUACAGUGGAGGAGGAAGACAAAUAAUUGACUUUUAGCAGUGACAUUUUAC